rnacentral:ncRNA from 2 species
UUAUCUCUUCGGGGUGAGGUGAAAUUCCUCAACUGGUGGUAAUAGUCCACGAAUCCCCCCCAUCCCGAUUCAAUUCAUCGGGAUAAGCGGGGGGAUGAACAUGGUGAAAUUCCAGUACCAACGGUAGAGUCCGGAUGGAAGAAGAGAAAU